rnacentral:misc_RNA from 1 species
UUUCCGUAGGUGAACCUGCGGAAGGAUCAUUAGUGAAUAAACAAGUGCAGGUUGUGCUGGCCUUCUUGGGUAUGUGCACGCCUGCCAGCUUCAUUCCAUCUUCCCACCUGUGCACUCUGUGUAGAUUCUGUAUGCUAUUGUCAAGCCUUUAUUGUGCUUGGUUGAGAGGAGUUGCUUGUUUCACCAACAAGCUCUUCUUGGGCAUGCAGGUCUAUGUUUAUAUCAACACCAUAUGAAUGUUUUAGAAUGUGCUUUAGGCUUUUUGGCCUUUAAAUUAUAUACAACUUUCAACAACGGAUCUCUUGGCUCUC